rnacentral:lncRNA from 1 species
UUUCUGAUAAUGUGCCCAAUUUCUCCACAUUUGAAACAAGUUCUCCUUUCAACAGUUUUAGGAGAACUUGAUCGACUACCAGAUGUUGAGCUUGUAGAACCUGAGGUACUUGCUCUUUCAUCACACCCGUUUGUGUGUUGGGUGUAAUUGUUAUCACUGUUUCGUUUCAAAAUCUUGACUUGUUGUACAAAAUCAGUGUUUGAUUUGUUUUCAAAAGUCUCAAUUUUAUCUGUACCUUUUGAUGCUACAAACUUAACAUCUUUUCCUUUCUUCAUGUAACGAGCUCCUUUUGAUUCAACUUUAGCCUUUGGCUUUGGAACUCGUUGUGGUUGUUUACCCUUAGAAGCAGUCGGUUGUUGAGUGGUUGGAGAUUUUUGAUUGCCAAACUGUUUCCUAAUCUCAGCCUUAGGAAUUGGAUCACAUUGUGUUACCACAAUUCCCGGCAGUGUUUUUCCCAAAAAUUUGUUUGUAUUGUCUUCAAAGACUUUGUCAAUCAAAGAUUUAUUUACAUUUUUAAUUGGAAAAACAUGAUCUGAAUAGAUUUUAUUAUCUCCAACCAAGGUGUACAACACAUUACUGCUUUUAACAGUAGACACACCUGUCUUAUCAACCUUGACAGGAUCAAUCACUUGCUUCUCAACAGAUGGAACCUCAGGAGUAUCAGGAUCACAAAGGAUGUGAUUCUCUCCCACAUCUGAUUCAUCAUCCGAUGUCUCAUAGUCCUCGAUAAUUGGAGGACUUUGUUUCAUGGAUGGUGAAGUUUCUUGUUCCUUAGGGGCUGUGUUUGAAGAACUGUCCGAUUUGAACCCUAGGCCAGUAGAAAAUUCCUCAAAGUUCAAAGGC